AGAGUUUGAUCAUGGCUCAGAACGAACGCUGGCGGCGCGUCUUAAGCAUGCAAGUCGAGCGGGAGGGGCAGCGAUGCCCCGAGAGCGGCGGACGGGUGAGUAACGCGUGGACAACCGACCCUCCGGUGGGGGAUAGCCGAGCGAAAGCGCGGAUAAUACCGCAUGAGACGGAGCGGGGGCGGCCCUGUUCCGGGAAAGCGCCUGCGGGCGCGCCGGGGGACGGGUCUGCGUCCCAUCAGCUAGACGGCGGGGUGAAGGCCCACCGUGGCGACGACGGGUAGCCGGCCUGAGAGGGUGGACGGCCACAUUGGGACUGGGAACGGCCCAG
rnacentral:rRNA from 1 species